AAGAAUGAACUUUACAUUUUGAAACAGGAAAAAAAGGUGUCUGUCUGGUCCCUCAGCUGGGCUGUCCACUUCCUACAGACACUGCUCCUCCUCGUUCCCAGUGUCCCCACCAAGCACCACAGGAGGAGGAAAUGUCACCAGUGACAGCUCCCGCCGUGGGGACGGAUGGGUGAGGAGGUCUUCGUGGGGCUCAGACACCCUUCCGGGUAUG
rnacentral:lncRNA from 1 species